ACCCGCUGAACUUAAGCAUAUCAAUAAGCGGAGGAAAAGAAACCAACAGGGAUUGCCCUAGUAACGGCGAGUGAAGCGGCAACAGCUCAAAUUUGAAAUCUGGCGUCUUUGGCGUCCGAGUUGUAAUUUGCAGAGGGCGCUUUGGCAUUGGCAGCGGUCCAAGUUCCUUGGAACAGGACGUCACAGAGGGUGAGAAUCCCGUACGUGGUCGCUAGCCUUUACCGUGUAAAGCCCCUUCGACGAGUCGAGUUGUUUGGGAAUGCAGCUCUAAAUGGGAGGUAAAUUUCUUCUAAAGCUAAAUACUGGCCAGAGACCGAUAGCGCACAAGUAGAGUGAUCGAAAGAUGAAAAGCACUUUGGAAAGAGAGUUAAAAAGCACGUGAAAUUGUUGAAAGGGAAGCGCUUGCAGCCAGACUUGCCUGUAGUUGCUCAUCCGGGUUUUUACCCGGUGCACUCUUCUAUAGGCAGGCCAGCAUCAGUUUGGGCGGUUGGAUAAAGGUCUCUGUCAUGUACCUCUCCUCGGGGAGAACUUAUAGGGGAGACGACAUGCAACCAGCCCGGACUGAGGUCCGCGCAUCUGCUAGGAUGCUGGCGUAAUGGCUGU
rnacentral:rRNA from 1 species